rnacentral:tRNA from 5 species
CCAGCGUAGACAUAUUGCCAACGAAUUUACAGUCCGUCCCCAUUAACCGCUCGGGCAUCGACCCAGAAAGAAUAAAUUCCAGGC